rnacentral:rRNA from 1 species
UACGUAGGGUGCGAGCGUUAAUCGGAAUUACUGGGCGUAAAGCGUGCGCAGGCGGUUUUGCAAGCCGGAUGUGAAAUCCCCGGGCUUAACCUGGGAAUGGCAUUUGGGACUGCAAGGCUGGAGUGCGGCAGAGGAGACUGGAAUUCCUGGUGUAGCAGUGAAAUGCGUAGAUAUCAGGAGGAACACCUGCGGUGAGGACAGCUUUCUGGACCAUCACUGACGCUGAGACACGAAAGCGUGGGUAGCAAACAGG